GCGGUGCCGGCCCGGGGUGGUCGGACGCGCUGCGGACGCGGCACAGGCCGCAGGAUGGACGGACGGACAGACAGACAGCCGAGCACGGGCGGGUGCGCUACUGCUCGGAGAGCGUGUGCGGGCUCCGUCACUGCAGACGCUGCCCAACCGACUGGAUGCAGUCCCGUGGCGUGCGCUCCGCCAGGGCUGUGCUCGAGCAGGGAGGCUGGAGCGGAUGAGCCCCGCGGUCCCUCCAGCCUGACCCAUCCUGUGGAACCCGUGUGAGACCCAGGCGGGACAUGGGCACCAGCACCGCCGGAGCUCAGAUUCCUGGGUUUCCCUCGAGGGAAGUCACAGAAGAAAAGAAAACGGGGCAGUUCCAUUCACUCACCUCGUUUUUAGAGAGGAUAAGCAGCAGGUAGAUGUCAAAUCAGGGACAGAAAACUUGUCCACAUCUGCCGAAAAAGUAAAUUAUAUAAAAUCAAUGAGGAUGAAUUCUUAUCAUAAAACAUACCAGCCCUAAACCAUGAGGUUUCAAGAGUCUUUGCAUCAGGUCAGGUUAUGACUAUUUCCUAUUUUGCUUGGGGUUAGCCACUGCUGAAACCACCAGCCCUGAAAGCCCUCAUGAGCCGCUUCAGAGGUGAUUCCCAGCACCAAAACACAGAGGGAAAAAUACACCAGUGCCACCGAACUUCAGUGCUUGUAAGUGGAUUUGCAACUCAUUAACCUCCAUUAAGAAAUGUAAUCCAGUUAGCCUGAGAGCUUUUCCAUGCGCAGAGGCAUCUACGGUCCACCCCCCUCUUGCCAGGAGAGGGCCGGAGCUUCUCAGUCCACCCAGAGAAACCAUGCCCAGGUGAUUGUUACAGGUUGUUUUCCUCCAUACCACCCUGGCUGCCUCAAGCAAUGACAGCACUCUUCACCUGCAGUUUGUUUAGUUAAGAGGGAAUCAAGGACUUGAGUGUACCCAGCCACUGUGUUACUUUCCCUGGCUGGGUUCUGUACUUUUAAGAGAUGCUCAUGGACAGAUGUCGCAUUCCUUCUUGGCUCUUGCUCUGAGGGUUUAAACACCGACAUUUUUAAUGCCCUCUGUCAUGCCAGGCUUCUCAUUCCCUGAUCAUCCCUGCAAGCUCUUGUGGGAGCUGAUGGGCCAGAGCAAUGUUUGAGAUGAGGGCUCAGCAAGGCGUUAGGGAAUGGUAUUUAUAUCUCCCUCAGUUGAAUCAAAAUUUCAUUUGAUAUAUCCUACGAAUAAAUCUGCCCUUUUCAGAUCCUCGUCACAAUGAUGACUCACAGGAUACAGUUUUGAUACCAACGUAUUAGAAAACAGAAAAAAGUAAUUUCCUUUGGCUGCCUAGUGACGAUAUGGUUAAAAAAUAUAUAAAUUGUCAGCCAACACAUCCAGAGAAUCUACUGCUAUUCUCUGGUCUGUAUCUACAGAGUUCAGGUUUGCUGUGACAGUACAGCACAUGGUCAUAUCCAUCAUCUAGCAGUGUCACAGAGAGCUCUGGCAACAACCAAACCCAGCCACCCUGGGUAACAGCUGCUCCCAGCACUGCCAAAGUAAACACACAUUUCCAAGGGACUGAGAAGAUGAAAGACAGAGACAGGCCACGACAGCAAUGCCUUGAUAGUCCACCCCCUUGAACUUUUCAGCUCAUGAAGUGGGCCUGGGACACACAGAACACUUAGCUGGAACUGCUCCAGCUUAUUGUUGAUGUAUUUUAGCCUGUUGCUGUUUUUAGCUUUCUUCUUGAAAACACACCUUUCUCCAACACAGGUGGGAGCACUGAUGGAGGUGUACAAGCAGGCAUCCAGCCACAGUAAGAUGCUCCAGCAUCCAGUGAGAUGGGUCCUUCCAUUUCCUCUGCUGGUUUUAGAUAAUGCCAAAAAGAUAUAGCUCUAUCAUCUUCAGCUGGCAGGUGCAAGAGGCCCAGGGGUGCUCCAUGUUCCUGAGCCUGCUGUGUGUUCCACUGGCAUCCUGCACACUGCCUUGCAGAGAUUCUCAUCAGCAAUCCUUGGAGAUCCUGUUUGAACCUGCUGCCAGCUGCCCAACCACCUCCUCACCAUAUGAAUGAUGGACUAAUGGUGCCAUUGGGCACACAGCAACAUUUCUCACCUCUUAUUCAGAACAACCCAAUCUGCAGGUAGAAAGAUCACUCAUCCUACAGACAGAUUAAUACUCUGUGUUCAAGAUGACAGACAUUUUAAAAUGUCAAAAAGCAUGUCUUCAUCACCUGGCCAGCUGUUGAAGUAAGAGCAGUGAUGGUUAACUCUCAGCCUCAAAUCCAGAGAUAAAACAUUUCCUCCAGCUACCCAGUCACAACACUCCUUGCUACUGCUCAACCCCAAAGCAGCAUCUGCAGUCAGGAAUGAAAAGCAGCUCUCCACCCAGCACAAUUGUACACCCAGCCUAGGGGGCAUUUCCGUGAUGACACCAGCUGAAAAUGGAACAAUCAAACCCUUCAAUGCAGGAAAAAAAUAUCUAAUGUUACCAGGUUGAUCUUACAGCACAAAGAUUUUUCUCCUCUGCCUUGCAAGAGAGGUAUUUUUGUCAGUGUCUGGUACCUGCACAGAGCCAAGCACAUCACCUUCACAGCACUUUGGCUAUUGGCCUCCAGGAGCUAAAUGUAAGCCUUCAGUUUGCCACCUUUUCUACAGAUUACAGCUGUAAAACACAGCUAAGUGGGAGACAGAAUGCCAAGAUAGAGGAAGAACCAAAAGCUUGGUACACAACUUAGAACAAUUUAUUUAAACAGGUCAGUCCAGAAUCAGUUUCUUACAAAAAAAGAGCAAAAGUCUGCCUCUGUCCCUUUCUCAUCAUUCACCUGUAGAAAUCAAUCAAGUCUUGAAGAAAACACCCACCCACCCCACCUCUCUGAGAAGUCAGGGUUAAUCCCUGGCAGUCAGCACAAGCUUCACCCUCCACUGAUAGAAGAAGCACAUGCCAAUGGAGCAGGUCCUAAUAUUCAGCACAAGACCAGAGAUGAGUGUGCAGAGGCAGACAUGUGCCUAAAACAGGUAAUGUACACUUACUGGCACACAGCUACAUUACUUAGCUCAAAAACUUCCUCUUUUCCCCACGUCCACAAAACAUCAAGAUCUGUUUGGAUCUUUUUUCCUUGUGGCCAAAUGGAAUAACCCAGGGCCAGUCUGUGAGUGAUCCAAGUAAUGGCCCAAUUUGCCAGUGAACAAACUCCUAGAAAUACAGACUUUUGGAAAUGGAAAACAUUGUUAAAAGCACUCUGCAGCUGCUGAUGAGUUGGUUUUCUCAAGAGUUCUGCCUUGGGGACAGACAACCAUUACCUGCUUUUUAAACGUAACAACUGUGGAAGCUGACAUGCUGAAACACAGCAGAAUGAUACUUGCCCAUGUCCAUUCAGUCACUGGCAAAAUCAGGACUGCAAACCCUGCAGGCUGCCAGGUGUGUGCUGCACAUCUGUCACACUGUCAUACUACCUUCUCAUCCUUUGAGAUGGAACAUGCCAGACAUACAGAAAAUUUCAAGUCUUUUAUUUUCAAAAAUUCAAAAAAUAAUAUAUGAUUGCUUUUGGUUUUUUUUUAAAUUAAAAAAAAUAAUAUCUAAGCUGCCAUUUUUAGCUGUCAGCAUUUACACUUCGUCAAUACGCCGCUUUUUUUUGGGAGUCACUGAACAUGCCUCUGCUUCUCCGUCUUGCAAGGCACUGCCAGAGUCAAACUCACAGCCAGCAUCAGCUGCCUCCAAAAACAAAACAUCAUCAGCAUCAUCUCUGCUCUCAGAGAAGGUCUUCUGGAAAAGGUCAUAGAUACUCUUCUGCUUUGUAUCUGGCUGAGGAAAGAGAACACAACAGGAUCUGCAUCCAUACUGUCAUGUAAAACACAGUGAGCAAAAUCAGAGGACACUCUCCUUACACAGUGCACAUGUGUGUACAGAUCAUACCUCACAUGAUACACACCCAUAUGUAUCUCAUACAUUAUAAACUCAAAGACGUUUAUAUGACAUGGAUGCUAACAGGUCUCCUUGCAGGUAGCAGGUUGGAACUUCUGUGGAGACUCCAAGCCAAGGCGUGGAUCCUGGGAGGAGCUUAACAAUCUGGUCUGUGGCAUUAAAGGCAGAACAGGUGCAAGGUCACCUGUGCCAAUCUAGAUGUACACAAGCCAAAGCCCAUUCAGCCUCUCCCAGGGACCACCAAUAUUCUUUCAGGUCAAUUACCUUAGGACAGUAAUUAGUUGACUCAGCUGUUUCAGAGAAAUUGGUUUCUGAAAGACCAGCUUCACCCAGCACUUUGAUCUUGUCCUGAAUCAUUGGCCUAGGAGUGAUAAACAGAUAUUACUGAAAGGAAAAAAAUCAAGGACACCGCUUCAUUUACUAUGUGUAGAUUAAAAAAGAAUACAGCUGGGAAGAAAGAUGGCUCUUCUACCAAACUUUGUUGGUUCCUUGACCUGUCCUGCUCUUGGCUAUAAUCACUGUAUUCUGUCUUGAGAUAUCAGUCAAUUAAAUUAGUAACAAUUAGAGGAUUUUGGGCUAUAAACAUUUGGAGAACACAUAUGUCCAAUAGAGAAACUAGUUGACUGAGGCAACAUCAAUGGUAUGAAGCCAGACCGAGAAGAUGCAGCUAAAAGGAUUCCUAGCAGCCUGUGUGCUCAGUCUCCAAGGCAAGCAAUGGAAAACCCCAACAAAAGAUGCAUCAGCACUUCAAGAAUAACUCCCAAUGUACAGCAGGAGGAAGAAUCCAUCACUGGCCGAAGAGGCUGAGAGGUCCUGGCCACACCUGCACACUGGACACUGAAAGACGCCAAGGCCACAGCACAAUUAGUGCAUUUACCAAAUAGCCUUGUCCUCUUGUUCUUUUUCUUAUUUUUAAAAAGAUGCCACUGUCCUUUCGAGAGCCGUAUUUCUUCCCCAUUAAGCACUAAUGACUGCACAGACAGCAUUUCACAAAUAAAGGCAGAAUUACUGUCAUUAACUUUCCAUGAAAUUUGGGUGAUGCAUCAGUUUCCAGAUCCUUGCAUUGUAGGGUUGUAAUUACUUGCCAUCAUGAUAUUCUGGGAACUGCACAAGUUCACUUAGUUCAUUCAUUCCUUUAAACAAGGUAAUAAAGAUGUAAUUUUGGAUUUAAAUGAA